AUUGAACGCUGGGGGAAGGCCUAACACAUGCAAGUCGAGCGGAGCGGGGGACGGAUGAGUAAGGCCUAGGAAUCGGCCUGGUGGUGGGGGAUAACGUCGGGAAAGGGGCGCUAAUACCGCAUCCAAUAAGAGGAGCCUAGGUCGGAUUAGCUGUUUGGUGGGGUAAAGGCCUACAAAGGCGAGGAUCCGUAACUGGUCUGAGAGGAUGAUCAGUCACACUGGAACUGAGACACGGUCCAGACUCCUACGGGAGGCAGCAGUGGGGAAUAUUGGACAAUGGGCGAAAGCCUGAUCCAGCCAUGCCGCGUGUGUGAAGAAGGUCUUCGGAUUGUAAAGCACUUUAAGUUGGGAGGCGUUACCAACAGAAUAAGCACCGGCUAACUUCGUGCCAGCAGCCGCGGUAAUUC
rnacentral:rRNA from 1 species